CAGCUUGUUGGUGAGGUAAUGGCUCACCAAGGCGUCGACGGGUAGCCGGCCUGAGAGGGUGACCGGCCACACUGGGACUGAGACACGGCCCAGACUCCUACGGGAGGCAGCAGUGGGGAAUAUUGCACAAUGGGCGGAAGCCUGAUGCAGCAACGCCGCGUGAGGGAUGACGGCCUUCGGGUUGUAAACCUCUUUUAGCAGGGAAGAAGCGAGAGUGACGGUACCUGCAGAAAAAGCGCCGGCUAACUACGUGCCAGCAGCCGCGGUAAUACGUAGGGCGCAAGCGUUAUCCGGAAUUAUUGGGCGUAAAGAGCUCGUAGGCGGUUUGUCGCGUCUGCUGUGAAAUCCCGAGGCUCAACCUCGGGCCUGCAGUGGGUACGGGCAGACUAGAGUGCGGUAGGGGAGAUUGGAAUUCCUGGUGUAGCGGUGGAAUGCGCAGAUAUCAGGAGGAACACCGAUGGCGAAGGCAGAUCUCUGGGCCGUAACUGACGCUGAGGAGCGAAAGCGUGGGGAGCAAACAGGCUUAGAUACCCUGGUAGUCCACCCCGU
rnacentral:rRNA from 1 species